rnacentral:rRNA from 1 species
AUUGAACGCUGGCGGCAGGCAUAACACAUGCAAGUCGAGCGGGGUGAUGGUGCUUGCACUAUCACUUAGCGGCGGACGGGUGAGUAAUGCUUAGGAAUCUGCCUAUUAAUGGGGGACGACAUCUCGAAAGGGAUGCUAAUACCGCAUACGUCCUACGGGAGAAAGCAGGGGAUCACUUGUGACCUUGCGCUAAUAGAUGAGCCUAAGUCGGAUUAGCUAGUUGGUGGGGUAAAGGCCUACCAAGGCGACGAUCUGUAGCGGAUCUGAGAGGAUGAUCCGCCACACUGGGACUGAGACACGGCCCAGACUCCUACGGGAGGCAGCAGUGGGGAAUAUUGGACAAUGGGGGGAACCCUGAUCCAGCCAUGCCGCGUGUGUGAAGAAGGCCUUAUGGUUGUAAAGCACUUUAAGCGAGGAGGAGGCUCUUUUGGUUAAUACCCAGAAUGAGUGGACGUUACUCGCAGAAUAAGCACCGGCUAACUCUGUGCCAGCCGCCGCAGUAA